AGAUCACUUGAGCCCAGGAGGUGGGGGUAGCAGUAAGCCAAGAUUGCACCACUGCACUCCAGCCUGGGUGACAGAG
rnacentral:snRNA from 1 species